rnacentral:rRNA from 1 species
UACGUAGGGUGCUAGCGUUGUUCGGAAUCAUUGGGCGUAAAGCGCGUGUAGGCGGUUAGUUAAGUCAGAUGUGAAAUCCCUGGGCUCAACCGAGGAAGUGCAUUUGAAACUAAUUAGCUAGAGAGUGGUAGAGGGCGGUGGAAUUCCGUGUGUAGAGGUGAAAUUCGUAGAUAUACGGAGGAAUACCGGUGGCGAAGGCGGGUCUCUGGACAGUUCCUGACGCUGAGGCACGAAGGCCAGGGGAGCAAACGGG